AGAGUUUGAUCAUGGCUCAGGACGAACGCUGGCGGCGUGCCUAAUACAUGCAAGUCGAGCGGACUUGAUGGAGUGCUUGCACUCCUGAGAGUUAGCGGCGGACGGGUGAGUAACACGUAGGCAACCUGCCCCUCAGACUGGGAUAACUACCGGAAACGGUAGCUAAUACCGGAUAAUUUAUUACAUAGCAUUGUGUGAUAAUGAAAGGCGGAGCAAUCUGUCACUAAGGGAUGGGCCUGCGGCGCAUUAGCUAGUUGGUGGGGUAACGGCCUACCAAGGCGACGAUGCGUAGCCGACCUGAGAGGGUGAACGGCCACACUGGGACUGAGACACGGCCCAGACUCCUACGGGAGGCAGCAGUAGGGAAUCUUCCGCAAUGGGCGAAAGCCUGACGGAGCAACGCCGCGUGAGUGAUGAAGGUUUUCGGAUCGUAAAGCUCUGUUGCCAAGGAAGAACGUCUUCUAGAGUAACUGCUAGGAGAGUGACGGUACUUGAGAAGAAAGCCCCGGCUAACUACGUGCCAGCAGCCGCGGUAAUACGUAGGGGGCAAGCGUUGUCCGGAAUUAUUGGGCGUAAAGCGCGCGCAGGCGGUUCUUUAAGUCUGGUGUUUAAACCAUGAGCUCAACUUAUGGUCGCAUUGGAAACUGGGGGACUUGAGUGCAGAAGAGGAGAGUGGAAUUCCACGUGUAGCGGUGAAAUGCGUAGAUAUGUGGAGGAACACCAGUGGCGAAGGCGACUCUCUGGGCUGUAACUGACGCUGAGGCGCGAAAGCGUGGGGAGCAAACAGGAUUAGAUACCCCGGUAGUCC
rnacentral:rRNA from 1 species